UGCAUUCAUGUAGCACAGUGGUUCUCAACCAGGGGUCCAAGGCCCCCUGGGGAUCAUGAGCAGGUUUCAGACGGUCCACCAAGCAGGGCCAGUGUUAGACUUGCUGGGGCCCAGGGCAGAAAGCCGAAGCCACACCACAUGGGGCU